rnacentral:lncRNA from 1 species
AAAUAAAUAAAAAUAGUCCAAAAACAGUCCAUUUACAAACCCAAAGUCUAACCCGAAUUACCCAAUACACCCCAGCCCAAUAACCAAAAAUCCUAAGCCCAAUACCCUAGCCCGGUUCGCCUAAAGAGAGCCAGAAACCCUAGCAACCUGCAGUAGGCCUCCAGCGCCGCAGCAACAAGAACCCUCCCCCUCGCGUGCCCACCACGCGCGAUGCCUCACACGAGCCGCGCCACGUCCCAGCUGGCCCUCGUACGCCCAUACACCUGCAGCAAACACCAACAAACAACAAGCAAAAACGCAACAGAAACAGACGAUACCGAAAAAAGCAAGAACGAAUAGCAAACAAAAGGCAAUAGAAAAAGAAAAUUAGAAAAAGGGCAGAGAGGAGAUUUUUCGAUUGGAUGUAUUUUCUCUUCUUUUCUUUUUCGCUUUGGCUAUAAAAAGCCAAUACAAACAAUGUAAAAUGGGUUACACAUUCAAUAUACAGAUUGAAUACCAAAAAGGGAUUCAAAGGAAAUCAAGUUUCAUAAGGUUUUUUUUUCGUUCUUUAUUUUUAUUUUCGUUCUUUCGUCCAUUACUAGUUUAGAAAUAAAAGAGAGACAGUAAAAGAAAGAAAGACGUACCUGGUAACCACAUCCUUCCCCUCCGUCGUCAUCUGAGUUGAGUGGAGGUUGGGGGGUCUGAGGAGAGGUUUCGUCGAGCGGCGCAGAGAACCUUUAAGGUUCUUUAGUUUUUUUCUUUAUUUUCUUUAUUUUCUUUCCUUAGAAAAUGAUAGGCUGCUAGUUUU